rnacentral:rRNA from 1 species
UGCCAGCCGCCGCGGUAAUACGUAGGGAGCGAGCGUUGUUCGGAUUUAUUGGGCGUAAAGAGCACGUAGGCGGGUAUGCAAGUCAGUUGUGAAAUCCUCUGGCUCAACCAGAGAAUUGCAGCUGAAACUGCAUACCUUGAGUCCAGCAGAGGAAAUCGGAAUCAAGGGUGUAGCGGUGAAAUGCGUAGAUAUCCUUGAGAACACCAGUGGCGAAGGCGGAUUUCUGGGCUGGUACUGACGCUGAGGUGCGAAAGCUGGGGGAGCGAACAGGAUUAGAUA